GAUGAACGCUGGCGGCGUGCCUAAUACAUGCAAGUCGAGCGAACAGACGAGGAGCUUGCUCCUCUGACGUUAGCGGCGGACGGGUGAGUAACACGUGGAUAACCUACCUAUAAGACUGGGAUAACUUCGGGAAACCGGAGCUAAUACCGGAUAAUAUAUUGAACCGCAUGGUUCAAUAGUGAAAGACGGUUUUGCUGUCACUUAUAGAUGGAUCCGCGCCGCAUUAGCUAGUUGGUAAGGUAACGGCUUACCAAGGCAGCGAUGCGUAGCCGACCUGAGAGGGUGAUCGGCCACACUGGAGCUGAGACACGGUCAAGACGCCUACGGGAGGCAGCAGUAGGGAAUCGUCCGCAAUGGGCGAAAGCCUGACGGAGCAACGCCGCGUGAGUGAUGAAGGUCUUCGGAUCGUAAAACUCUGUUAUUAGGGAAGAACAAAUGUGUAAGUAACUAUGCACGUCUUGACGGUACCUAAUCAGAAAGCCACGGCUAACUACGUG
rnacentral:rRNA from 1 species